CCUACGGGAGGCAGCAGUCGGGAAUAUUGCGCAAUGGAGGAAACUCUGACGCAGUGACGCCGCGUAUAGGAAGAAGGUUUUCGGAUUGUAAACCAUUGUCAUUAGGGAAGAUAAUAGACUUACCCUAAGGAGGAAGCCCCGGCUAACUAGGUGCAAGCAGCCGCGGUAAUACAAAGGGGGCAAGCGUAACCCGGAUUUAUUGGGUGGAAGGGGUGCGUAGACGGAAGAACAAGUUGGUUGUGAAAUCCCUCGGCUCAACUGAGGAACUGCAACGAAAACUAUUCUCCUUGAGUGUCGGAGAGGAAAGUGGAAUUCCUAGUGUAGCGGUGAAAUGCGUAGAUAUUAGGAGGAACACCAGUGGCGAAGGCGACUUUCUGGACGAUAACUGACGUUGAGGCACGAAAGUGUGGGGAGCAAACAGGAUUAGAUACCCCAGUAGUC
rnacentral:rRNA from 1 species